rnacentral:rRNA from 1 species
ACUCAAAGGAAUUGACGGGGGCCCGCACAAGCGGAGGAACAUGUGGUUUAAUUCGAUGAUACGCGAGGAACCUUACCCGGGUUUAAAUGUAGAUUGCAUAAAGCAGAGAUGUUUUUUACCUUCACAGGACUAUUUACAAGGUGCUGCAUGGUUGUCGUCAGCUCGUGCCGUGAGGUGUCGGCUUAAGUGCCAUAACGAGCGCAACCCUUGCUGUUAGUUGCCAACAGGUUAUGCUGGGAACUCUAACAGGACUGCCGUCGCAAGGCGAGAGGAAGGGGGGGAUGACGUCAAAUCAGCACGGCCCUUACAUCCGGGGCUACACACGUGUUACAAUGGCAGGUACAGAGGGCAGCUACACCGCGAGGUGAUGCUAAUCUCGAAAGCCUGUCGUAGUUCGGAUUGGAGUCUGCAACCCGACUCCAUGAAGCUGGAUUCGCUAGUAAUCGCAUAUCAGCCAUGAUGCGGUGAAUACGUUCCCGGGCCUUGUACACACCGCCCGU